rnacentral:rRNA from 1 species
AUUGAACGCUGGCGGCAUGCCUUACACAUGCAAGUCGAACGGUAACGCGGGGGCAACCCUGGCGACGAGUGGCGAACGGGUGAGUAAUACAUCGGAACGUACCCAGUAGUGGGGGAUAGCUCGGCGAAAGCCGGAUUAAUACCGCAUACGACCUAUGGGUGAAAGCGGGGGAUCGCAAGACCUCGCGCUAUUGGAGCGGCCGAUGUCGGAUUAGCUAGUUGGUGAGGUAAAGGCUCACCAAGGCUACGAUCCGUAGCUGGUCUGAGAGGACGACCAGCCACACUGGGACUGAGACACGGCCCAGACUCCUACGGGAGGCAGCAGUGGGGAAUUUUGGACAAUGGGCGAAAGCCUGAUCCAGCCAUGCCGCGUGUGUGAAGAA